GUCUUCCGCUCUCCGUUGCCUCGCUCUGCCCUCGUUGGCUCCCCUUUCUCUCGGUUCCGGCCUUCCUCGGGAACCGCUUCUUGUUUCCCUCUCGGCGUCUGUUAGCUUCGGGAGUCGUACGUAGAGCUCUCAAGAAGGGAUGGAGGCUUGGUCAUGUGUCCUGGUUAAUGCACGAAGAAGAGGAGGAGACAAGUCGUCCAGCGAGAAGGGAUUCGAGGUGACGGAGAUCAAGCAUGGUGGGACAAUCGAUCGAUACUAAGUUGGAAGAAAAGGGUUGGAUUUCAAGGGUUAGAAAGGUUGGUAAUAUCCGUAGUCUAUUUAUGUGCCCAUGAUUUCCCUCCCUCUUUCUGUUUUUUCUUGUCUUGGUUGUUUUUUGGUUGAUUGGUUGUGAUGGCCGCUAUAGGGAUUAUAUAAUUCGGUAUAGUAAAUGUACAAACCCCAGGAAGUUUCUUUUUCAUUUUUAGUAUUUUUUUAAAGUGUUUUUCUAAAACUUAGUACAUACUGGUGUACGCUCGAUACACUGAUAUGGACCGUUAUAAUACUGAUCCGAACCCUGACCGGUACUGUACAGGCUACGGAUACAUGAAAUUGAGAACCUUUUAUCCAACCAGCACAUCACAGGGAAUUGGCGGAAUGGGAAUUGUAUGAAAAUUGAUACUUGAAUUCUAGUUGUAAAAUAACUUGUGAUUAUGGAUCUGCAAGAGUUUUGAAUGUCAAGACAUUGCAUGUACCUACAGGAAGUUACUCAAGUUGUACUACAAUUGUUUAUGUGAAUGGCAUCCGUAUAUGACAGAUUAAGCUCGCCUUCAUCUAAAUCAGUGGUUGCAGCAAUUCGCUCUAGGUGAUGUUGUUGUAUUGCUAAUGUGAUGGUCAUAAUGCAGAUCAUGAGCAAGUUGAUUUGAAGUUGUGUAGGGCUAUUAAGUAUGGAGUUGCCAACCAAACAACAAGCUUUUAGAUUGCAUUUGAUUUCACAAACCUCAGAAAAUACCUCAUGCACAUCAGAGCGGAUGAUGUAACAUUGACAUUAGAAUAGUGAUUUCUUUGAUCUUAGAGAGUGGAGGUUCUGAACGAUCCCUACAACAUUGACUUGCUUUCAGUCAUGUCUCUAAUCUGUUUUUUCGUCGGAUUUUUUUGCAAGGCUAUCGAAAAUUUAUUUCAAGCAGGCAAUACAGAUAUGAUGGAGAAAAAUUGCUUGAUUUUUUUUUUGUGAGAUUCUUUUUCUAUAUAUAAACUGGAGAUUGUCAGCAACAAUGUUCGUAAAUAUUCGUAGGAUGAUAACUCAUAAUUCAUCAGUCAUCAUUUGUAACAUGGUUGGAUAAGGUUUAAUGAUCUUUCAUUUUAAGAUCAUAUUCCUCAUUAAUUCAGUGCAAAUGUUUUUGCCAGUGUACCCCUUUCAAUGGAUGUUGCAUAGGUUUUGUGUCCUUCAUAUUAUUUCCAUGCUCAAAUAGAUGGAAGGGUUAUUUGCGUUCUGUUUUAGUAUUUAACAAGUUCUCGGCUCAGAUUGUCAACAUGUGCUCUCUUUCUUUCUUUUUUUACUUUGGGAAGAAAAACAUUGAAUUCAUCUGAUAAUAUGGUUUGAAGAAAGAGCAUUUUAAUAUGCAAAUCUUUGUUCUUUAAUCUUUCACUGAUUCUUGAGUAUCAAAUAUGCAUGCUAAUUUUCUUCUUAUAUCAAUGGAGACAAUGACAUCUAGCUUUUUGCUAAAUCUCUUACUUCCAGAAAAGAUUUGUUAAGGGUUGAUUUCAUCAUAUAUUCUAACCACUUCCCUCAUAGUUCUGUAGCCAAGGAAUGUUAGUGUCUUAUCCUUUUUCUCAGUUCAAACAGGCAUUUAGCUGUUCUUAAAUGAGAAUUAUGCAUAUUUUUUUACUUAUAAUGGUCAGGAAAUUCCAAUGUCUGCUGCUUAGAAUGUCCGCCAUAGAUUACGCAACAGUAAGUUCCCUUGUCACUCUGGAAAUUACAUGAGGCAGUUCUCUGAAAGUUUUUUGUUUUCUCCAACUGUGCAUACAUGGAUAUCAAUUUCUGAAACUUGAGCCUGUAGUCCAUUUGGCAGUUUUGGUUUCAGUGUUACCACUUCUUGGGAGUGAUGAUCUUGUAUAUUGGCUUAAUUAUCACCAUGAUAAACAAACAUUUGGAUUUGAGUUGCAUGCGCUUAUCUGCUUCACUCAUUUCAUUUUGAGUUCUUAUGGUUUGGACUUGUAUAUUGGCUUAAGUAUCGCUGUUUUAAACAAACAUUUGGAUUUGAGUUGCAUGUGCUUAUCUGCUUCACUCAUUUCAUUUUGAGUUCUUAUGGUUUGGACUUGUUUAUUGACUUAAUUAUCACUGUUAUAAACAAACAUUUGGAUUUGAGUUGCAUGCGCUUAUCUGCUUCACUCAUUUGAUUUUGAGUUCUUAUGGUUUGGACCUUCCAUUAUGAUGGUCUUGAAAUGGAUUGGUUACCUACUUCACAUGUAGAGAAUUUGUGUGUCAAUCCAACAGAUGUGCUUUGCUAUCCCAUCAAUGCUGUAAAAACCUGUAAGUUAUCUCAUCUUCUUAUGUUCUCGAUCCAGUCAAUAAAACACAAGGAACUCUUGGUGAAGACUUGAUCAUGGAUGAUACUGCAAGCAAAGGUAACACAUGAUAUCAGCUUGUCCCGAAAACAGUAUGUAGAUCAUGAAUUCAUGAUGUCUCUCAGCAACAAUAGAAUAAAUCAGCAAGAUGAUCAAUCAUGCAGUCUUUUUCUGCAGCAGCCCUAUAAAGAUUAGGAAAUCUGUCACUCACAAGAGCUCUUCGCAUAUCCAUUUAUCAAUUCAAAAACCAUGUCAAGAGAUCGAUUUCUCUAGUGUUGAACUGAUUCUUCACUGUGCCACAGCAUUAGGCAUAGCCUUCACAGGUGCUUGAUUUCUGGCAACAGCACCAAUAGACAAAAAUUUCCACAUUCUUUUUUCCUAUUGAGAAAACAUUUGGAAGUGAUUUAAUCUGUCAUUAUUCUUCCUGGACAUUCUUUGCCUAUUGUGACACCUCAAUCCACCUUAAUUUUCCUUACUAAAUGGUCUAAUUUUUUAAACAUGAUAUAUGGGUUUCUUUUUUUUUUUUCUUUGCAUGGAAGAAAUCAUAUAAGGAUUGUGAUUACACCUGCCUGUGAUAUGCACUUGUACUUCAUUAUGUGCUCUCCCACAAUAGGAAUACAGUCAGAUCUCUUUUUGUGUUUGAGGAAGAAAGUGUAAAGAAGCCUUUUCACUUAGACUUUAUUUAUGAACUUGUGAAAUCAAGUAUGAACUGGAAGUAUCAUACCAUGCAUCCAAACAUAGAGUGAAAGAAAAAAGAACAAAAACAUUAAAAAGAAGUAAUCUUUGUGUUGAACUGUGUAUUAUUCCAGUUGACCUUGAACAUGUUCCCAGACAUUGCUUCACUUUUAUGUCCAAGCUCUUACCAAAAAGACUAGCCUAAAGAGUAUGAUUUGUAUUCCUUUUCCCCUUUAAAUUAUAAUAUCAAGGUGAGGAUGCAUGGAUCUUGAUGCUACAUUAUGCUGACUCUAAUAAGAACUUUAAUAGGAUUGGUUCAUGUUGCAAUAGCAGUCUACACAUAUCUAAUCCAACCUUUCCCCGGAUCCUUGGCUGCCUUUUCUUCAGGUGUUGAAGUGGUAUUUUCCCAUUGAAACUGAUGUUUGAUAUGAUAAAAGAACAGGUGUUUACCAUUAAAUAGUUGUUUGGUGAUCCAUCCUUGUCAUGAAUACUUUUUUAAUGCUGUCAUGGCUGGAGAAUAUUUUAUAGUUAUUAGUUAGGAAGCAUAGAACAUAUAUCACAUACAUGGGACAUGGCAAUCAUGAGAGUGGAAGAUAUAUGUCUGCUUAUGAUCAUAAAUACUGGCAGCAUAUUGGUAGGUCCAAAGUUAAGACUUAUCCCUAAGUUGACUUCCUUUUUGCUUCACUGCACAUCAAAGAGCUCUUUUCUUUCAGAAAAUGAAAACAUUUCUCUUCCAAUCAAUCUUCCUGUUCCAUCUUUUGUUCAUAUGCCAAUGGGUGAGCAGUUGAAUUAAUGUGAGAGAGCAGUGUCCUCAGAAAUAAAAAAAAAAUGCUCAGAAUUAAUGAGAAACAUCCUGUACAGAAAAAUAGUAUGCAACUUAGAGAAUAGUAGACAGAUGUAGAUUAUCUCAGUUAUGACAUUUCAGAUGGUUGACAACAAUUUAUGUUAAUGUAUGCUAUUAGCUAGUUUCAAGGGUGUAACUCUCUUUAUUUUGACAGGAAAAAUCGGCGAAAAUGUUGGUCGAUUGGAUUAGAGAUUAUUUUUCUGAGGUUGGCAUACAAAAAAAGAGGAGCUCAAGAAUUUGUCUGGUGAAGCACAUUCAACGUUUGUAUUGUUUGUCUUUGAUCAUUUGGUGAGAGAACUCGAGGAAAGCAAUGGAAAAUUUUGCUUACUGGUAAACUUUCAUACAAUUUGACUCAUUAGACAUUAUAAAUUUAUAAUGUGAUAUGGUUCCAGGCAAUUAGGUAGUUCAUCACAAUCUCAAAGCUUCUCAAACUAGAACAAGAACUAUGGCAUAUGAUUGCAAGAACAUCCUGUCAUUCACCUGUUCUGUUCAUGAAUGUCUUGUUGGAUGCCCAACAUAAAAGCCUAACACAAAAGCCAGCCAAAAGAAUAAAUCUUGGAAGCUUUUUUUUGAUACUACACCAAAUUGAACACCCAGUGGCUGGCAAAGAGGCCCUACAUGUUGAUGUCUGAUGUGAUACAUGUUGCACUGGAGACAUGAAUGCCAUACCCUUUCCUGCAGUAUCUAUGAUUGAACAUAAUUGAAUGGUGAGUCCAAACUGAUUCCUGCAUUGAUCUUCCUAUACACUAACAAAAUUUUCGAGAAUCAUUUGAUUCCAGCAAUUGUUUUGAGUUUGAAUUAGAAUUUGGCUGCAAGCAAUGGCUCAAAUAAUUCAUGAUUGUCUAUAUUUUUGGGCUUCCUUUCAUCUUACAAGUUUAAUAUACAAAAUACUUUAA